GUAUUCACUUUGGCAACAUGUACACUAAAACUGGAACAAUACAGAGAAAAUUAGCAAGGCCCCUGAACAAGGAUAACAUGCAAAUUUGUGAAGCAUUCCAUAUUUAA